rnacentral:rRNA from 1 species
GGCUGAGCUGUGAUGGGGAAGCUCCUUAUGGAGCGAAGUCUUUGAUUCCCCGCUGCCAAGAAAAGCUUCUAGCGAGAUAAAAGGUGCCUGUACCGCAAACCGACACAGGUAGGCGAGGAGAGAAUCCUAAGGUGUGCGAGAGAACUCUGGUUAAGGAACUCGGCAAAAUGACCCCGUAACUUCGGGAGAAGGGGUGCUUUCUUAACGGAAAGCCGCAGUGAAUAGGCCCAAGCGACUGUUUAGCAAAAACACAGCUCUCUGCGAAGCCGUAAGGCGAAGUAUAGGGGGUGACACCUGCCCGGUGCUGGAAGGUUAAGGAGAGGGGUUAGCGUAAGCGAAGCUCUGAACUGAAGCCCCAGUAAACGGCGGCCGUAACUAUAACGGUCCUAAGGUAGCGAAAUUCCUUGUCGGGUAAGUUCCGACCCGCACGAAAGGUGUAACGAUUUGGGCACUGUCUCAACCAGAGACUCGGUGAAAUUAUAGUACCUGUGAAGAUGCAGGUUACCCGCGACAGGACGGAAAGACCCCGUGGAGCUUUACUGUAGCCUGAUAUUGAAUUUUGGUACAGUUUGUACAGGAUAGGCGGGAGCCAUUGAAACCGGAGCGCUAGCUUCGGUGGAGGCGCUGGUGGGAUACCGCCCUGACUGUAUUGAAAUUCUAACCUACGGGUCUUAUCGACCCGGGAGACAGUGUCAGGUGGGCAGUUUGACUGGGGCGGUCGCCUCCUAAAGUGUAACGGAGGCGCCCAAAGGUUCCCUCAGAAUGGUUGGAAAUCAUUCGUAGAGUGCAAAGGCAUAAGGGAGCUUGACUGCGAGACCUACAAGUCGAGCAGGGACGAAAGUCGGGCUUAGUGAUCCGGUGGUUCCGCAUGGAAGGGCCAUCGCUCAACGGAUAAAAGCUACCCCGGGGAUAACAGGCUUAUCUCCCCCAAGAGUCCACAUCGACGGGGAGGUUUGGCACCUCGAUGUCGGCUCAUCGCAUCCUGGGGCUGUAGUCGGUCCCAAGGGUUGGGCUGUUCGCCCAUUAAAGCGGUACGCGAGCUGGGUUCAGAACGUCGUGAGACAGUUCGGUCCCUAUCCGUCGUGGGCGUAGGAAAUUUGAGAGGAGCUGUCCUUAGUACGAGAGGACCGGGAUGGACGCACCGCUGGUGUACCAGUUGUUCUGCCAAGGGCAUAGCUGGGUAGCUAUGUGCGGAAGGGAUAAGUGCUGAAAGCAUCUAAGCAUGAAGCCCCCCUCAAGAUGAGAUUUCCCAUAGCGUAAGCUAGUAAGAUCCCUGAAAGAUGAUCAGGUUGAUAGGUUCGAGGUGGAAGCAUGGUGACAUGUGGAGCUGACGAAUACUAAUAGAUCGAGGACUUAACC